GGAUUACUUUCUGAUUGGGCCGGUCUCUUGUCAAUGUAUGAGCUCUAACUCCAGGCACUACGAUCUUUUCUCUUCGAGACAAAUAGCGUUUCGCUUUAGGAUGCUGAAGGCACCGCUCUCGCAUCAGGACCAGAAGUCUGAAUGGGAUGGAGACGAUAAAAUAGAUCUGGAGCUGAGAAAACAUGCCAUGAGUCAGAGUAUUUCCGUUCUGUAUCUAAGAGGUCUUAGAGCAAGCCAGCCAGGAACCUGACAUCAAAAGAAUGCACACAAGAUGUAAAUGGAGAAGCACAAGUGUCAAGAAGAAAAACAGGACAUCUGCACGGUUUCAAACCGGAUUUGCAUUAAAAGGCAAACAACGACAUCCCAUCACUUUCCUCUAAAACAAUCCAUUACUGACAAUUAAUGUCAAGCAGCACAUCAGUGCAGCAUUAUGCUGCCUUGCUGGAAGAAACACUGCUAAUGGAAAGAAAGCCUUUUAAGAUUCAAUACAUUAA
rnacentral:lncRNA from 8 species